GUUUAUCUGUGUAUUUGCUUCUUCCAGGAAAGAUGCUUCUCUCAGAUUCUGUCAGACCUUGUCAGCUGCUCAGGCGUCAUGGGAAGACUAGGAACUGUACAGAGCUCUUCCGAGGCUGGUCCUUUGGAGCUUUAAGAAGGAGAAAGGAUGUAAGGGUGUGUGAUAUCCAGCAUACUGCUGCCAGCUGACAGGCACCUCCACUCUACAACCUUGCUGGCAUCUUCUGACAUCAUCUGACAAAUCUCAGAGGGACAUUCUGAUGUGACAAUGGUAAACUGACACUUUUCUUCAAGUGCCAAGGGUUCACCGAGGCUGCUGGUGUGGAACAGUCCUCCAGAUGUGGCUGCAUCUGCCUGCUCCUGCCAGGUGGUUCUAAGAAACUGAAACUGAGAGUCGAAACACUAUCCUUAAAAGUGUGAAGCCAGUGCCUGCUGCCAGGCGAGAAGAAGUUGCCAACUUGACCAGCAGCCAGCGAGAACAUCUGUUUCCCUGGAGGGAAAACCCAGAGAGUGGAAGCAGUGGCUUCCAGGUGUCCCUACCUCUCCUUGAGCAGUCCAGGGAUCUGCUUGUGAUGGGAGCCACCCCGGUGCUGGCGCUGUGCUAUACUGACAGGAAGAUCUGGUAGCAAGAGCUCUGUCCCCAAAGCUGUCACACAAGUUCCUCCCAGGAGCUGAUUUCAUCCCUUUGUCAGUGGACAGAACAGCCACCGCGGGUCACAGCAGAAACAGCGUCAGAGGGACAGAAGAUCUUGACUGGUAGAAGUUAGAAGAGAGGGCAGUGGUUUUCUAAAGCCGUUUUUGGGGUCAGUACCCAGGUCGUUGGGGAGUCAUGCAGAGUCGCCCUGGGUGGUGUUGAUACUGUGCUGCAGAGCCUCAUGACCUUCACCAAAGUCCUUGAGAGCUGCAUUUCCUGUGUGUCCUGCUGGUGGGACUGUUGGGAAGAUUAGCAGACUUGAGGCAGAUGCAGCACUUAUACAUGGAUGGCGAUUUGUUUUCUUUGCUUCACACACUUUCCCUCCCCACCCUUGCCUCUCUGCUCCAUGCCACUCAGCUCAGGAAACUUCCUGGUUCACCAAGCCCAGUGUGAGAUGCUUUUUGAUGACACGUGAUAGAAAAGACCAAAAUGCCAGAAGUGAAAGUUUAGAAAAUCAGUUCUGAAAUUCAGCACAGCAGGCAGCAUCAGGCAACAAAACUUACAGAGUUUUGGGGAAAAUGGAACAAGGGAAGCAUCACCAUAAGUCAACGGAUGACUUUAAAAAUAGCAGCCUAAUAAAGAUAACAUGCAGUGAUGUAUCCAAGAGGUAACUGAAUAAUAUGAUGAAUUUUUAAAUUUAAAAAUUCUUAUUAUAGUAAAAGACACAUUGCCAAAAUGGAUGGAAUAUGUAUUUAAAGGGAAGAUGAGUGUUUUGAGAACUUUGAAAAGGUUAAUGACCAUGUUUCUUUACUAUGAUAAAUGCAAAGAUUCAUAGUAAUUUUCACUUACUUUUACACACCAUAUGAUUAAAGCAUGCAAAAAUGCUACCAUCGAUAUGGCAAUGUGGGAAAGGGUUAAUGUUUCAGGAGGAGGUGGACACUGAAGUUUGCAGCUUAUGAGCUUCAGGGAAGUGAGGGCAGCUUCAGGGAAGUGAGUUGCAGCUUAUGAGCUUUCAGGAAGGGCAGGAUGUUUGGAAUAUUUGUCUUUUACCAAACUUCACAUACUGAUCACUGGUUCUUAGGGGCUGUAUUAGGUGGAGAGGUUUGGGGGGCUGAUUAGGUUAUGAGGAUUCCACCCUUGUCACAGGGAUUAGUGCCUUUACAAAAGAGCGAAGGGGAGCUCAUCCACCCUCCUACCAUAUGAGGACCCAGGAAAGUGCCAUCUGUGAAGGACAGUCCCUCAUCAGGCAAUGAAUCCACUGCCGCCUCAGUGUUGGACUUUCUGGCUUCCAGAACUGUACUCAAUAUAUGUGUGUGAUUCAACAGCUCCUUGGUCUAAGAUAAUUUGUUACAGAACUGUAACAGAAGGUGGCUGAAAUGGGAGGAAGUUCUAGCAGCAGGUAUGGGCAGCUCCUAACACACUGGAGGAGGCUAAGGUAUGUGUGUGUGUGCACAUGCACGUACAUGUGUGCAUAUUCACUUGUGUCUUCCUAGGCUUUGGUUAGCCUCCUACAGUUCCUUGUGUUCACCUUGUGAUUCUUAGGAAUGAAAUCAUGCCUGUGCAAAUCCCAAGUUAUUCUCAAAUUUUCUCUAAUUUAUCAACCGUGUUAACACAAAUGGAGGUGUUAUAGCAAGUGUUUGAGCAGAACCGUGUAGUAGCUCGCUUGGAGCUCUGCUUCUGCUUGAUGCCAGAGCAAAACAUUCACAGUGCACACACGGAAUGGGUGUGCACAUGACAGGGUGUCAGCAGCAACGCCCCACACCCUCUUGCGCUUUCAGAUUCCCGAGCUGGAUUCAGUGCAUCUGCAGAUUAUUUUAUCCAGUUCUAAAUUUCCCAGCCCUCCGAAAUGGGUAAGCACCAAAAGUGCUCCUGCACAAAGCUCUGAGUUGCUGUGGAUAUCAGUGUUGCAAAGAUGAGUGGACACAAAGGAGGAAUGGAGCCAGGCGCAGACUGUUCUAGGGUGAGUCUCCAUGAGCUGGGCUAAAGGGAUAAAAAUCUACAAAGGUCUGGUGAUUGUCCAAGGGAGACUCAGCGUGAUGAGAACUACUCGAUACACAGAUUUCCAUCCACCAUUGUUAACUGUAAGCCUUCCUCUUCUGCCUCACAUUUACCAAGGCAGGUUCUGCUCUCACACAAUAAAUCAUUCCAUACUGAGCAGCCAAACCCAAAGCGCUACACAUGUCACAUUCCUCAAUCCUACCCUUUGUAGAAUCUCACUAGAAUCAAUGGCAAUUCUUUAUCAGUCACCUCAUUUUACUAAAAGCAAUUUGUGUGUGUGUGUGUGUGUGUGUGUGUGUGUGUGUAUUUUGCUAGAGAUGGAACCCAGAACCUUGCUCUUGUUAGACAAACCAUGUCAUUGAGUACAUGCAGAAAUCUCUUCUGAUUUUUUCUCUUUCUGGAUAAGGACAAUAUGUCAUAUCAAUUAAUAAAAUCCUUUUUCCUCCUGCUUUAAUGAAACUGGCUGAAGCAGCGUAGGAAAAGUUACAUGGCAUGCACAAAAUUGUGGAAGUGAAUUAAAAUAUUACUAGCAGAGCAUGAAGAUGCUGGCCUGCAAUAUCAGCCAGCUGGAAGGCUGAGACUGGAAGGCUGAGGCAGGAGGAGUCUAAGUAGGAGCCCAGUCUGGACAACUUAGUAAUUUAAUGAGACCUUGUCUUGAAAUAAAAAAGAGAUGGAAAGGCUUUGAGUUCAAACCCUAGCAUUGCAAAACAAAACAAAACAAAACAAAAACAGAAACAAACAAACAAACAACAACAACAAAAAAACCCCCAAAAAACAAAAAACCCUAAAAUUUAUGAAGACUGGAAAAGGUAACCUAUGAAUAAAUGACCCUCUCUGGCUAGAGGGUGGUUGGUGUGCGAUGCGCCACAUCCCAGGUGUCUAUGACGUGUCUGGUCUUCAGCACUUGCUUGCUAGGUUGUUUCAAUCACAAAACAGGAAGAAUAAUCUUCGUGAUCUGUAAGAAAAAAUGGCUCUGAGGCACCAUGUUACAUAGCAAAUAAUUCAUGUCACAAAGCGAUAUUUUAGAAGGAAAACUGUGGAAGGGGAACCAGAGUCGCUUUGUCCACUGAACGAGACCAGCAUCCACGACAGAGGCCCCGGAUGGAGUGCGCUUACCUGGCGCGGUUCCCAGCACGAUGUCAUUUACCACAGCACCAUACUUCCCAGACACAGCGAAUACAUAUGAAAAAUCUUUCAUGGCAC